rnacentral:rRNA from 1 species
GACGAACGCUGGCGGCGUGCCUAAUACAUGCAAGUUGAGCGCUGAAGGUUGGUACUUGUACCGACUGGAUGAGCAGCGAACGGGUGAGUAACGCGUGGGGAAUCUGCCUUUGAGCGGGGGACAACAUUUGGAAACGAAUGCUAAUACCGCAUAAAAACUUUAAACACAAGUUUUAAGUUUGAAAGAUGCAAUUGCAUCACUCAAAGAUGAUCCCGCGUUGUAUUAGCUAGUUGGUGAGGUAAAGGCUCACCAAGGCGAUGAUACAUAGCCGACCUGAGAGGGUGAUCGGCCACAUUGGGACUGAGACACGGCCCAAACUCCUACGGGAGGCAGCAGUAGGGAAUCUUCGGCAAUGGACGAAAGUCUGACCGCGCAACGCCGCGUGAGUGAAGAAGGUUUUCGGAUCGUAAAACUCUGUUGGUAGAGAAGAACGUUGGUGAGAGUGGAAAGCUCAUCAAGUGACGGUAACUACCCAGAAAGGGACGGCUAACUACGUG